rnacentral:rRNA from 1 species
AGUGAACGCUGGCGGUAGGCCUAACACAUGCAAGUCGAACGGCAGCACAGUAAGAGCUUGCUCUUACGGGUGGCGAGUGGCGGACGGGUGAGGAAUACAUCGGCAUCUACUUUUUCGUGGGGGAUAACGUAGGGAAACUUACGCUAAUACCGCAUACGACCUACGGGUGAAAGCAGGGGAUCUUCGGACCUUGCGCGAUUGAAUGAGCCGAUGUCGGAUCAGCUAGUUGGCGGGGUAAAGGCCCACCAAGGCGACGAUCCGUAGCUGGUCUGAGAGGAUGAUCAGCCACACUGGAACUGAGACACGGUCCAGACUCCUACGGGAGGCAGCAGUGGGGAAUAUUGGACAAUGGGCGCAAGCCUGAUCCAGCCAUACCGCGUGGGUGAAGAAGGCCUUCGGGUUGUAAAGCCCUUUUGUUGGGAAAGAAAAGCAGCAGGUUAAUACCCCGCUGUUCUGACGGUACCCAAUGAAUAAGCACCGGCUAACUUCGUG